UACAGAGGUCCCAAGCGUUGUUCGGAUCCACUGGGCGUAAAGGGUGCGUAGGUGGCGGGGUAAGUCUGAUAUGAAAUCUCCGAGCUUAACUCGGAAACUGCAUCGGAUACUGCCUUGCUCGAGGGUUGGAGGGGGGACUGGAAUACUUGGUGUAGCAGUGAAAUGCGUAGAUAUCAAGUGGAACACCAGUGGCGAAGGCGAGUCCCUGGACAACUCCUGACACUGAGGCACGAAAGCUAGGGGAGCAAACAGG
rnacentral:rRNA from 1 species